rnacentral:rRNA from 1 species
UACGUAGGGUGCGAGCGUUGUCCGGAAUUAUUGGGCGUAAAGGGCUCGUAGGCGGUUUGUCGCGUCGGGAGUGAAAACACACAGCUUAACUGUAUGCUUGCUUCCGAUACGGGCAGACUAGAGGUAUGCAGGGGAGAACGGAAUUCCUGGUGUAGCGGUGAAAUGCGCAGAUAUCAGGAGGAACACCGGUGGCGAAGGCGGUUCUCUGGGCAUUACCUGACGCUGAGGAGCGAAAGUGUGGGGAGCGAACAGG